rnacentral:rRNA from 1 species
GCAUUUAGCAAUAGUGCAACUCUCACACUGAUUGCCCACUGAAGCUAAGCAGGGCUGCGCCUGGUCAGUACCUGGAUGGGAGACCACAUGGGAAGGCUAUGUUGCUGCUGCA